rnacentral:rRNA from 1 species
CAGUAGCCACGGGUAAUACGGAGGGUGCAAGCGUUAAUCGGAAUUACUGGGCGUAAAGCGCACGCAGGCGGUCUGACAAGUCAGAUGUGAAAUCCCCGGGCUUAACCUGGGAACUGCAUUUGAAACUGUCAGGCUGGAGUCUUGUAGAGGGGGGUGGAAUUCCAGGUGUAGCGGUGAAAUGCGUAGAGAUCUGGAGGAAUACCGGUGGCGAAGGCGGCCCCCUGGACAAAGACUGACGCUCAGGUGCGAAAGCGUGGGGAGCAAACAGGAUUAGAUACCCCGGUAGUCCCUGUCUCUUAUA